rnacentral:rRNA from 1 species
GGUGAACGCUGGCGGCGUGCCUAAUACAUGCAAGUCGAGCGAACGGACGAGAAGCUUGCUUUUCUGAUGUUAGCGGCGGACGGGUGAGUAACACGUGGAUAACCUACCUAUAAGACUGGGAUAACUUCGGGAAACCGGAGCUAAUACCGGAUAAUAUUUUGAACCGCAUGGUUCAAAAGUGAAAGACGGUCUUGCUGUCACUUAUAGAUGGAUCCGCGCUGCAUUAGCUAGUUGGUAAGGUAACGGCUUACCAAGGCAACGAUGCAUAGCCGACCUGAGAGGGUGAUCGGCCACACUGGAACUGAGACACGGUCCAGACUCCUACGGGAGGCAGCAAUAGGGAAUCUUCCGCAAUGGGCGAAAGCCUGACGGAGCAACGCCGCGUGAGUGAUGAAGGUCUUCGGAUCGUAAAACUCUGUUAUUAGGGAAGAACAUAUGUGUAAGUAACUGUGCACAUCUUGACGGUACCUAAUCAGAAAGCCACGGCUAACUACGUG